CGCAUCGAUGAAGAACGCAGCGAAAUGCGAUACUUGGUGUGAAUUGCAGAAUCCCGUGAACCAUCGAGUCUUUGAACGCAAGUUGCGCCCGAAGCCAUUCGGUCGAGGGCACGCCUGCCUGGGCGUCACGCACCGCGUCGCACCCACUGCCUGCGCUCCCCAGGGAGCCGGGCUGAUCGGGGCGGAUAUUGGCCUCCCGUGCGCAUGCCUCGUGCGGUUGGCCUAAAGAGGGAGACCAUGGCGAUAAGGGCCACGGCGUCAGGUGGUUGAAAAAUGCAUCGCGCCGCGUCCCCUGUAAACAUCGACCGUGGUGCUCGCAGGGCCUUUGACGGAGCCGUGCACACGGCUCAACCGAUGCGACCCCAGGUCAGGCGGGACUACCCGCUGAGUUUAAGCAUAU
rnacentral:misc_RNA from 1 species